GGAGAAUGUGCCAUUGCUAUUGCUUGAUGGAACAGUGCAGUUUUGGAAUUCAUCUCCGGUCACUUUGUACACAUUGUGAACUCCUGCCGUGUA